AAAGGCAGCUAGCUCUCUGCAACUCUCACAUGGUCGCCCACUGAAGCUAAGCAGGGCUGCGCCCGGUCAGUACCUGGAUGGGAGACCACUUGGGAAAGCUAGGUUGCUGCCGGAA
rfam:Danio rerio chromosome 18, GRCz11 reference primary assembly.